rfam:Gossypium raimondii Chr08_contig_1266, whole genome shotgun sequence.
UGUUAAAAACCUCAUCCAUUAAUACAAUUAAAAACAGACGUGGCUAACGGAAUAAUUAAACAAUGACACGUGGCAUACCACAUAUACCUUAUGUUGACAUAUAAGGGCCAAUUUUUAACUGUAGAAAUAUAUGGAAUUUUUAACA